rnacentral:lncRNA from 1 species
AGUGGGAGCCCCCUUUCACAGCUUUGUUGGGCCAGUGAUGGACCAGGGCCUACAUGGGAUGUAGAGCUGGUCCAUGGAAGCAGAGUGCCAGGCCGAUGUCCUACCCUGCCCAGUCCUUCCUGUCCGUCUUCCGCUCUCUGGCAACGGUGGAGAAGACUGUGGAGAAGUGCUGCAUCUCCCUCAGUGGCAGCAACAGCCACCUGGUGGUCCAGCUUCACUGCAAAUAUGGUGAGCAGGCAGCUGGCCAGCUAAGAGUGGGGGAGUGGAGUGAAGGCUGUCAAGCCCACUGAGACCAUUUCCCCUAUCCAGGGGUCAAGAAGACACACAACCUCUCCUUCCAGGACUGUGAAUCCCUGCAGGCUGUCUUCGACCCAGCCU